rnacentral:lncRNA from 1 species
UAUGAUACACCUGACUGUGUCUAUGGCACACCUGAGAUACACCUGGGCACACCCAGAACUACCCCCCGGCCAUCAAGUACCCCCAGAGAGGGGUGCCACACCCUCACCUGUCCACAUCACCGUGUUAGGGCACACCUGGGCACACCUGGGCACACCUGGGCACACCUGAGAUACACCUGGGUAUGUCUAUGAUACACCUGAGUGUGUCUAUGAUACACCUGGGUGUGUCUAUGGCACACUUGGGCACACCUGGGCACACCUGGGCACACCUGGGGGCAUUGGGGACAUACCUGGGCACACCUGGGCACACCCAAAACACACCUGGGGCACACCUGGGCACACCUGAGAUACACCUGGGUGUGUCUAUGAUACACCUGGGCACACCUGGGGUCACCUGGGGUCACCUGGAGCCAUUCAGGUACAUCACAGCCCCAACCCCCGGCCACCAUCUUGAUGACAUCAUCGGUCGCCAUCUUGGUGAUUUCUCGGCCGCCAUAUUGGCCAGGCAGCCGCAGCCAAUCAGAAUCCAGCAGUGGGCAUGGCGGCCAUUUUGGAUCGGUGGCCGCAGCCAAUGGGGGAUCAGGAAUGGCUCGGGAGCCGUUUUGGAUCAGCAGCAGCAGCCAAUCACAGACAAGGAUCGCCCUGGCGGCCAUUUUGGCUGGACAGAGUCAGCCAAUGAGAGACGAUGGUGGCCAUUUUGUCUUGUCUGCGAGUAG